rnacentral:tRNA from 5 species
CGGGGUGUAGCUCAGCUUGGUAGAGCGCUUGCUUCGGGAGCAAGAGGUCGCAGGUUCGAAUCCUGUCACCCCGACCA